AGAGUUUGAUCCUGGCUCAGGACGAACGCUGGCGGCGUGCUUAACACAUGCAAGUCGAACGGAAAGGCCCUGCUUGCAGGGUACUCGAGUGGCGAACGGGUGAGUAACACGUGGGUGAUCUGCCCUGCACUUCGGGAUAAGCUUGGGAAACUGGGUCUAAUACCGGAUAGGAGCCAUCUUUAGUGUGGUGGUUGGAAAGUUUUUUCGGUGUAGGAUGAGCUCGCGGCCUAUCAGCUUGUUGGUGGGGUAAUGGCCUACCAAGGCGGCGACGGGUAGCCGGCCUGAGAGGGUGUACGGCCACAUUGGGACUGAGAUACGGCCCAGACUCCUACGGGAGGCAGCAGUGGGGAAUAUUGCACAAUGGGCGCAAGCCUGAUGCAGCGACGCCGCGUGGGGGAUGAAGGCCUUCGGGUUGUAAACUCCUUUCGCUAGGGACGAAGCUUUGUGUGACGGUACCUAGAUAAGAAGCACCGGCUAACUACGUG
rnacentral:rRNA from 1 species